UUCAGCCCUUAGACAAAGAAAAUCUCACAAGCACUCAUAAACACUCAUUUUCAUCUCUAUAAUAUGUUCUUCUAAUUGUUUUUUGUUGAUUCGCCGCUGUGUUUUAAUGUAAAAGACUGUAGUUUCUGUAUGUACACUUUUUUUCCCUUCAAGUGUUCAGACGUCUCGCGCUGUCAGACAGGCUGCAGCAAAUAUUUCAUUUUAACAUGUUAACAGCUCACAAACAUCUGAAUUUAGCUCUUGGUGUGUUCUAAUUGGCGGAUUGUGUGCAAUCGCCGUAAUAUUUUAUUUUUAAAAGGUCUUAAACAAGAAUAAACUCGUUUGUUGUGAGCUCGUUGAGACAGCACGCGCUGUUCGGAGCGGUGACAUAUCUCUCGUCUAUCUCUCUGUUCUCUGUCGCCAGACAUCAAUUAUUAAUAAGCCCUGACCCGCUAAUAAUAAGAUAUGUUGGUUUAGCUUGUCAGUGUGAAUUAAAUGUAUUUAUUUAGUUGUAUUUUUAACCGAUUUAAAAGUGAAACUAAGCGAGACUCCUCCCUCUCAGUCCCGGGAAUUGCUCCUGUAGAGGCGCAUUUUCUCUCAGACAAUGAAAGUCUCAGCAUACAUACAUUCCUCACACAGAGCCAAAAAUCCAUAUUCAAAUCAAAAUAGCCGACUUCCUGUUGGUCGUAGCUAAUGACUGUAAAUUAGAAAGUUGUCCGUCUUAAUAAGAACAAUAUAUGUACCGAGUUUGGUGUCUGUAGCUAAAACUAAGCCCCCCACUUUUGACAAAAGGUGGCGCUAUAGAGUGCCCCCUCCACGCCCUAUUAUGAUCUUUUGCCAUUGUAUAUCUAUCAUUAAUUCUGAUAUAUGUUUUGUGUUUCAUGUUAUUCUGAGCAUGUUAUCUGCCUCAAAAUCACCAGAACAGAAUAUUCAAGAUUGACACGUUGCCAUGGCAACACGAUAUUAGAUAUCAAUAUCCCCACAACAUAUUUACAUCGUCCGUGUUUUG
ensembl:lncRNA